rnacentral:rRNA from 1 species
UACGAAGGGGGGCUAGCGUUGCUCGGAAUCACUGGGCGUAAAGCGCACGUAGGCGGCUUGUUAAGUCAGGGGUGAAAUCCUGGAGCCUCAACUCCAGAACUGCCUUUGAUACUGGCGAGCUUGAGUUCGGGAGAGUGAGUGGAACUGCGAGUGUAGAGGUGAAAUUCGUAGAUAUUCGCAAGAACACCAGUGGCGAAGGCGGCUCACUGGCCCGAUACUGACGCUGAGGUGCGAAAGCGUGGGGAGCAAACAGG